rnacentral:rRNA from 1 species
GAUGAACGCUGGCGGCGUGCCUAAUACAUGCAAGUCGAGCGAACUGAUUAGAAGCUUGCUUCUAAGACGUUAGCGGCGGACGGGUGAGUAACACGUGGGCAACCUGCCUGUAAGACUGGGAUAACUUCGGGAAACCGAAGCUAAUACCGGAUAGGAUCUUCUCCUUCAUGGGAGAUGAUUGAAAGAUGGUUUCGGCUAUCACUUACAGAUGGGCCCGCGGUGCAUUAGCUAGUUGGUGAGGUAACGGCUCACAAAGGCAACGAUGCAUAGCCGACCUGAGAGGGUGAACGGCCAAACUGGGACUGAGACACGGCCCAGACUCCUACGGGAGGCAGCAGUAGGGAAUCUUCCGAAAUGGACGAAAGUCUGACGGAGCAACGCCGCGUGAGUGAUGAAGGCUUUCGGGUCGUAAAACUCUGUUGUUAGGGAAGAACAAGUACAAGAGUAACUGCUUGUACCUUGACGGUACCUAACCAGAAAGCCACGGCUAACUACGUGCCAGCCGCCGCCGUAAGAC